UAUUAUGUGUUUACCAUAUGUGAGUUGCAUUAAAUUAUAUCGCUAGGGGCCCGUUGAAUGGGUCCAGGAUGGAAAGAUCCUUGGUAUGCCACAAUGCGAUAUUAUGUUAAAGUUAUGGUUGCAACCAGUCGCCAGGGGCCGGCUAAAUCGGUCCAGGACGGAAAGGUCCUUGGUUUUAAAGGCCGGAGGCGCGUGGAAGGUCGAAUGGCGAGUCAAAUGUUUUGUAUUUAUCUUUCUUUAAAGAUGUUAUUUUGAGUAAAAUACUUUAAACAAAAAUUUAUUUCACUAUUUUCUUGUUAAAUAUUUAUUUAUAGUCA